rnacentral:rRNA from 1 species
CGACCUCAGUUCNGGUGAGACUACCCCUGAAUUUAAGCAUAUUACUAAGGGGAGGAAAAGAAACUAACUAGGAUUCCCUCAGUAGCGGCGAGCGAACAGGGAAGAGCCCAGCGCUGAAUCCCCCGGGCCUCGCUCGGCGGGAAAUGUAGGUUUGGGAGAACCGUUAACAGGGGGAUNGNGNUUGCUCAAGUCCAACUUGAUGGGCCACANGAGGUGACAGGCCNUNGAGCAGAAGCGUUCNCCGUNUGAUUUUCCUUAGAGUCGGUUUGCUUGAGAGUGCAGACCCAAGUGGUUGUAAACUCCAUCUAAGGUUAAAUACANCCACGAGACCGAUAGCAUACAAGUACCGUGAGGGAAAGGUGAAAAGAACUUUGAAGAGAGAGUUCAAGAGUACGUGAAACUGAAGUGGUGUAAACGGACGAGAUCGAAAAGUCCGACUGGGGAGAUUCAAGCCCAUCCGUGCCGGGGGCCUGUCGGUUCAGAUGGUGCGGUCUGCUCGGGCCCCUCGGGGUGCCGGGUUUGUUCUGUAUCCACUCUCCGAUGGGAUAUCUUUCCGGUGCGGUGAGCUGCACUUCUCCCCUUGUAGGACGUCGCGACCCGUUGGGAGGUCCGAUCUAAGGCCCGCGGUGGAGCCCGUGCCCGAGCGUACUUCGGUGCGUGGCGGUGCACGGACCCGCGGUGUCCCGAUCGGCGCCCGACGGUAUCAAAGCACUUUGGGAAGGAACCGCACAGAGGUUGCGUCCGAUGCUCUUCACAGGGCUAUACUCGGACAGGUUCGUACCCGGUCAGCGGCGCUACUGCUUUCGAUACUCGUCCGACCCGUCUUGAAACACGGACCAAGGAGUCU